AACCUGGUUGAUCUUGCCAGUAGUCAUAUGCUUGUCUUAAAGAUUAAGCCAUGCAAGUGAAAGUACACAUGAAUAAUAAUUUAUCGAAACUGCGAACGGCUCAUUAAAACAGUUAUAAUCUACUUGACAUUUAUAUUAUAAGGAUAACUACGGAAAAUCUGUAGCUAAUACUUGUAAAAAUAUCUUAUGAUAUGUAUAUAUAUAUAUAUAUGUAUGUAUCAUUAAGAUAUGUAUUUGUUAGAUGUAAGAAGUAAAUAAAAUAAAUAUGAAUUGAAUUAUAACAAAGAAAGAACACGUAUACGUACGUGAUUAUCAAUCGAGUAUCUGACCUAUCAGCUUUUGAUGUUAGGGUAUUGACCUAACAUGGCUAUGACGGGUAACGGGGAAUUAGAGUUCAAUUCCGGAGAGGGAGCCUGAGAAAUAGCUACCACAUCUAAGGAAGGCAGCAGGCGCGUAAAUUACCCAAUUCUGAAGAAGAGAGGUAGUGACAAGAAAUAACAAUACAUUAUCGAAGAAUGAUUUUGUAAUUGGAAUGAUAGGGAAUUAUAACAUUUCUAGAGAAACAAUUGGAGGGCAAGUCUGGUGCCAGCAGCCGCGGUAAUUCCAGCUCCAAUAGCAUAUAUUAAAAUUGUUGCAGUUAAAACGUUCGUAGUUGAAUAUUAAAGAAUCCGAUGUUUCAUUUAAACUGGUUUUGGGAAACUACAUAUAUAUAUAUUUAUAUAUAUAUAUAUUGCUUAAUAAGUUUCCCGUAUAAAAUUAUGUUUUUAUCAGAUAUGACAGAGUCUUUUUUAAAAUCUGUUCAUUUUGCUUUUAUUGCAUUUUGAGAGAUUUUGUUACUUUGAGUAAAAUUAAGUGUUCAUAACAGACGGCUAUACUUUGAUUGAGGUGUUCAGGGUGUUUGAAUACUACAGCAUGGAAUAACAAAUAUGAAUAAGCUAAUUUAAUUUUUUAUUAUUUUUUUGGAUAUUCUUAUUAGCUUAGUUACGGUUAAUAGGAGUAGUUUUGGGGGCAUUCGUAUUCAGAUGUCAGAGGUGAAAUUCUAAGAUUUUCUGGAGACGGACUACUGCGAAAGCAUUUGCCUAAUCUAUUUCCAUUAAUCAAGAACGAAAGUUAAGGGAGUGAAGACGAUCAGAUACCGUCGUAAUCUUAACCAUAAACUAUACCGACUAGGUGUUGGAUGAAUAUAAAAAAUAUAUAUAAAAUAUUAAUAUUUCUUAGGGAUUAUUGAUUUUAUAUAUUAGAUUGCUUCCUUCAGUACCUUAUGAGAAAUCAAAGUCUUUGGGUUCUGGGGCGAGUAUUCGCGCAAGCGAGAAAGUUAAAAGAAUUGACGGAAGGGCACCACCAGGCGUGGAGCUUGCGGCUUAAUUUGACUCAACACGGGAAAACUCACUAGUUUAAGACAAGAGUAGGAUUGACAGAUUAAUAGCUCUUUCUUGAUUUCUUGGAUGGUGAUGCAUGGCCGUUUUUAGUUCGUGAAUAUGAUUUGUCUGGUUAAUUCCGAUAACGAACGAGAUCUUAACCUGCUAAUUAGCGGCAAGUACACCAUAUUUUUAUUUGAAAUUGAUUUUAGGUAAUUAGUAUAAUUAUUUUAGGGUACAAAUUAGGAUAUUUUUAUUAAAAUAUCCUUUUCCCUGUUCUACAAAUAUUUUAUUUAUUUACUCUAUUUCUUUUUUCUUUUAAGAAUGUACUUGUUUGAUUGAAAAAGCUUCUUAGAGGAACAUUGUGUAUCUAACACAAGGAAGUUUAAGGCAACAACAGGUCUGUGAUGUCCUUAGAUAAACUAGGCUGCACGCGUGCUACAAUGAUAUAUAUAACAAGUUGUUAAAAUAUAUACAUAUAUUUGUAUCUUGUGAUACUUAGUAAAUAAUUUUGUAUAUUUUUUCCUUUACUGAAAAGUAUAGGUAAUCCAAUCAAUAUAUAUCGUAACUGGGAUAGAUUAUUGCAAUUAUUAAUCUUGAACGAGGAAUGCCUAGUAAGCAUGAUUCAUUAGAUUGUGCUGACUACGUCCCUGCCCUUUGUACACACCGCCCGUCGCUCCUACCGAUUGAAAGAUAUGAUGAAUUGUUUGGAUAUGAAUUAAAACAUGGAAUUUUAUAUUUCUGAUUUUUUCUAGAAGAACUGUAAAUCCUGUCUUUUAAAGGAAGGAGAAGUCGUAACAAGGUUUCCGUAGGUGAACCUGCGGAAGGA
rnacentral:rRNA from 1 species